rnacentral:rRNA from 1 species
CCCUUAGAUGUUCUGGGCCGCACGCGCGCUACACUGAUGAAUUCAACGAGCACUAACCUGUGCAGAAAUGUUCGGGUAAUCUUGUGAAAUUUCAUCGUGAUGGGGAUUGAUUAUUGCAAUUAUUAAUCAUAAACGAGGAAUGCCUAGUAAGCGUGAGUCAUCAGCUCACGUUGAUUACGUCCCUGCCCUUUGUACACACCGCCCGUCGCUCCUACCGAUUGGGUGUGCUGGUGAAAUGUUCGGAUCGGCCGUUUGUCGCGGUUUCCGCGGCUCGUGGCUGAGAAGUUCAUUAAACCCUCCCACCUAGAGGAAGGAGAAGUCGUAACA